GAGUGAUAGCUCAGCUGGCCUGAAAAGCAUGAGACCUGAAUUCGAUCCUCUGGAUUUCCUGUAAAGAUGCCAAGCUUGAUGGUACAUUUAUGGUCUAGUGCUGGUGAGGUGGGGACAAGCAAAUUCCAGGAGUUUGGUGUCACACUACUUGGUGACUGUUGCUGUCAGCUUUGGUGGUAAAGGAAAACUGCCUGUUUGCACUUACUGCAGAGACUUUGUAAGUCUUCAAUCUCUGAGAACAACUGUCCUUAUUGUGACAUGGUAGCUCAAAGCUCAGCCAUAAAUGGGAGGAGACACUCCUAUAUCUGUAUAAACCCCUCCAAGGAUUAUGGAGCAAAGAGGAAGGAGGAAGGGGGUAUAAAGAAUGAGGGAGACUGUUGUCUAUAUUUCUCAGAGUUGAAGCACUCUCUCCUGGAGGUGGGACAGAGACUCCUGGAAGCUAAGGAAGCUUACAAGGCUCAGCAAGCUCAUAGAAGCUGCUAGUGUCACAAGGCCCCUCCCUAAGGGUAUAAAAAGCAAUGCAUAACUGCUAAGGAGAGACCUUUGGCUGAACUGCCAAUAGGUUGGGAAGGGAACUCCAGAGAUGCAGCUUUUGGGUGUCAUCACCCAUACUGGGGUGGGCCUUUUAGUGAUGUAGCUGCUUUUGAGUCCACCCCUCCCCUGUGUUCCUGUAAGUAACCCCAAUAAACUUACUGAUUCAACAAGCUAGA